AGGACGAACGCUGGCGGCGUGCUUAACACAUGCAAGUGGAGCGACGAACCAGGGCUUGCCCUGGGGCAGAGCCGCGAACGGGUGAGUAACACGUGGGUUACCUGCCUCGAUGACCGGGACAACCCGAGGAAACUCGGGCUAAUACCGGAUGUGCCCGCAAGGGGAAAGGAAGCUUCGGCCUCCGCAUCGAGAUGGGCCCGCGGCCCAUUAGCUUGUUGGUGAGGUAACGGCUCACCAAGGCUUCGAUGGGUAGCUGGUCUGAGAGGACGAUCAGCCACACUGGGACUGAGACACGGCCCAGACUCCUACGGGAGGCAGCAGUGGGGAAUCUUGCGCAAUGCGCGAAAGCGUGACGCAGCAACGCCGCGUGGGGGAAGAAGGCUUUCGGGUGUAAACCCCUUUCAGUUGGGACGAAGCUUCUCCGGUGAAUAGCCGGACGGAGUGACGGUACCUUCACAAGAAGCACCGGCUAACUACGUGCCAGCAGCCGCGGU
rnacentral:rRNA from 1 species